UACGUAGGGUGCAAGCGUUAAUCGGAAUUACUGGGCGUAAAGCGUGCGCAGGCGGUUUUGUAAGUUUGUCGUGAAAGCCCCGGGCUCAACCUGGGAAUUGCGAUGAAGACUGCAAGGCUUGAAUCUGGCAGAGGGGGGUAGAAUUCCACGUGUAGCAGUGAAAUGCGUAGAGAUGUGGAGGAACACCGAUGGCGAAGGCAGCCCCCUGGAUCAAGAUUGACGCUCAUGCACGAAAGCGUGGGGAGCAAACAGG
rnacentral:rRNA from 1 species